rnacentral:rRNA from 1 species
UACGUAGGGGGCAAGCGUUGUCCGGAAUCAUUGGGCGUAAAGCGCGCGUAGGCGGCCCGGUAAGUCCGCUCUGAAAGUCCAGGGCUCAACCCUGGAAAGCGGGUGGAUACUGCCGGGCUAGAAUCCGGAAGAGGCGAGUGGAAUUCCUGGUGUAGCGGUGGAAUGCGUAGAUAUCAGGAGGAACACCGGUGGCGAAGGCGGCUACCUGGACAGAGUCUGACGCUGAGGCACGAAAGCUAGGGGAGCAAACAGG